rnacentral:rRNA from 1 species
GAUGAACGCUGGCGGCGUGCCUAAUACAUGCAAGUCGAGCGAACAGACGAGGAGCUUGCUCCUCUGACGUUAGCGGCGGACGGGUGAGUAACACGUGGAUAACCUACCUAUAAGACUGGGAUAACUUCGGGAAACCGGAGCUAAUACCGGAUAACAUGUUGAACCGCAUGGUUCAACAGUGAAAGACGGUUUUGCUGUCACUUAUAGAUGGAUCCGCGUCGCAUUAGCUAGUUGGUAAGUUAACGGCUUACCAAGGCAACGAUGCGUAGCCGACCUGAGAGGGUGAUCGGCCACACUGGAACUGAGACACGGUCCAGACUCCUACGGGAGGCAGCAGUAGGGAAUCUUCCGCAAUGGGCGAAAGCCUGACGGAGCAACGCCGCGUGAGUGAAGAAGGUCUUCGGAUCGUAAAACUCUGUUAUUAGGGAAGAACAAAUGUGUAAGUAACUAUGCACGUCUUGACGGUACCUAAUCAGAAAGCCACGGCUAACUACGUG